UACGAAGGGGGCUAGCGUUGUUCGGAAUUACUGGGCGUAAAGGGCGCGUAGGCGGCCUUCUAAGUCGAACGUGAAAUCCCCGGGCUCAACCCGGGAACUGCGUCCGAGACUGGAAGGCUUGAAUCCGGGAGAGGGAUGUGGAAUUCCAGGUGUAGCGGUGAAAUGCGUAGAUAUCUGGAGGAACAUCGGUGGCGAAGGCGGCAUCCUGGACCGGUAUUGACGCUGAGGCGCGAAAGCCAGGGGAGCAAACGGG
rnacentral:rRNA from 1 species